rnacentral:rRNA from 1 species
UACGUAGGGUGCGAGCGUUGCCCGGAUUUAUUGGGCGUAAAGGGCGCGUAGGCGGCCACGCACGUCCGUUGUGAAAUCGCCCGGCUCAACUGGGCGGGGUCAGCGGAUACGGUGUGGCUCGAGCAAGCUAGGGGGGCAAUGGAACUCCCGGUGUAGUGGUGGAAUGCGUAGAUAUCGGGAAGAACACCAGUGGCGAAGGCGGUUGCCUGGAGCUUUGCUGACGCUG